UACGGAGGGGACUAGCGUUGUUUCGGAAUUACUGGGCGUAAAGCGCACGUAGGCGGGCUUUAGCAAGUUUGGAUGUGAAAUCCCUCGGCUCAACCAAGGAAGUGCAUCCAAAACUGCUGAGCUUGAGUACUUAAGAGGAUCGCGGGAAUUCCCGGUGUAGAGGUGAAAUUCGUAGAUAUCGGGAGGAACACCAGUGGCGAAGGCGGCGAUCUGGGAAGAUACUGACGCUGAGGCGCGAAAGCGUGGGGGAGCAAACAGGG
rnacentral:rRNA from 1 species